AAGUCGUAACAAGGUUUCCGUUGGUGAACCAGCGGAAGGAUCAUUACCAUAAUCCAUAUGAUUAUAAACAAACUUUUGUGAAUUUGUAUGAAAUUGUCUUUUGGAAUUAAAAAAGAAAAUAGUUGAGAAAGACUAUUAUUAUUUAUUAAUUCCAAAUGUAUUUUCUUUCUUUAUUGAAAAUACACACAAUGUUAAAAACUAUUAAUUUCAAAAAUAAUACAGAAUUAAAAAAACUAAAAUAUAUUCACCCAUCAAAAAGUGAUAUAUUUUAUGUUAAAAGUUUAAUAUAUGACAACUUUUAACGGCGGAUCUCUUGGCUCGU
rnacentral:misc_RNA from 1 species